UCUCCAGCUUCCCAGCUCGGGUCUGGGGGAGGAGGGCGGGGGACGCGCGCGCCCGGGUCCUCGGGGCGAGCAGGUGCUCGGGAGGGGGCGCUCUGGGGGCAAGGCCGCACCGUGGGGGCGGGGGUCGCCUCCUUGUCACCCCUCCGGCGCCCCAAUCUCAUCUCCGCCCCGGGCCUGUGCUGAGCCGGUGGGCAGAGCGCCCGGGCUCGCUUUCGGCGUGUGCGCCCACAUCGCCGGGGUGUGAGUCACUCCAGGCGGCCGGCACACCCACUUCCCCGGAGUUGGAGGCGGGAGCGAGGAUCCAGGCCUCGGUCUGGUGUGUGCUGUCACUGCUGGUGAGUCUUUCCUUUCCUCCCUGCUUGCUGCCUUACCUAUUAAGGGCUUAAGAACUCUCUGAAGCUGUGGGGUAAGGGAGGGGGGAGCAGGCGCCCCCGCUCAGGUCUCCGGGAGUCAGUUCUACGUCUGGCUGGGCCUCCCCUACUUCUACUCUCUCCCCACCUGUCUCUAGUUCUUUCUCUCAGUUUUUCCCCGUGUGGGUUUUUAUUUCCACUUUUCACCCUUCUUUGGGGUGUACCUAGGGUUCAUCUAUUUCAAGUCUCUUGGUAAACAGUGGCCCAGAGAGCUGGCCUUGCCAAGGUCACAAAGGCCGGGAAUAAGCAGAAGCGGGGCCGGAGCCAGCCCUGAUCUGUGCCCUAGCUGUGACGCCCCGCUGCCUCUGUUUCAUUUGAGAUCCCCAAAACCUCCCCUCUGCUUUCCAAAAUCUUCCCUCUGAUCUUUCCUCUCCCUCCCCUCUCAUCCAUCUCCUGGCUCUUCCCUCCUCUCCUCUCUUCCCACGCCCUCCACCUGCUAGUUCCUCUGCCGCUCUCGCUCUCACGGGAGGCCUGUCUGUCUGCCUGCCCUGCAGGGUUUGUGGGGAAGUAAACAUCUGUCCACGAGUGUGCUCGCACACACUGUUGUACAGACCUGUCUGCUCACCCGUCACGUCCAAAUUCCCCACGGACAGAGGCGUUCACAUAAUGCAGAGGCCACAGAUGUACCCAGUCUCAGACACACUGAAUACCACUGGGGUGGACAGCGAGGGUUUCUCAGGGACACAGAGACGUACUCCAAGAAAACACGCAAAGAGACGCUGUCAUCAGUUUUAUUGUCAAUAAGAACAAUGCGGCAGCCGUAGGUCUUUGGGGAGCAGCAGCUCAAAGACGAACAUAAUAAAGAUCGGGCAGCCCUUGAGGCCCCCUUCUCCCCACCUCUGCUCCGCACUUACCGGGGAGACGCUCAAAUUGGACACCGUGAUAAACCCUCACAAACAAACACAUGUGUAUUUAUCUUGGAACAAAGCUCUCAGCUCAGUGCUCAUAAGACCUACAGCUACAGAUACGACCCAAACCUGUUUUGUAAAACGGGCUUUCGUGCUGUGGAAGAUGGAGUCACAGUCCCCCAAGAUGUCCACGUCUUCAUUCCUGGAACCUGGUAAACCUGGUAAAUCUGUUACCUUCCAGGGCAAAGGGGAAUUAAGUUUGCAGAUGGACUUAGGGUUGCUGAUCACUUGGGUUCGAAACAGGGAGAUUUCUCUAGAUUAUCCACAGGGGUUCAAGGUCCACAACAUCCUUAAAGGCAGAGGACGGAAGCAGGAGAGAACAACCAGCGAGAGACGUGUGAGAAGCACUCAGCCUAACACUGUUGACUUUGAACACUGAGGAAAGGGCUGCGUGCAGAGGAAGCAGACGGCCCCUCGGAGCCGGAAAAGGAAGGCAAUGGACUCCAGGAGGCCUCCAGUCCUGCGGAUGGCUUGAUUUUCACCCAGUAGGACCCACUUUCGACUUCUGAACUGCAGGACUGUGAGACUCUGCUGUUUACAAUGUGCAGCCGUCCCAAGAAUUGCUGCACAUACUCUGGGGAGACAGCCCUGAUGGAAAGGGGGCUCGAGGCAGACAGAGGAUGAAGUUUCCAGCAGAUCAACCUGAUACUCAUGGACAUGACCCCGGUUGCAAGCCCGGCACCCUCCCAGCCCGCGCUCUGUAGCUCUGUAGCAGCUCUGAGCUGAGAGGAUGACUCAGAUUCCUGGGGUUAAGGAUUUGCUUUCAGGGUGAGGCCCUGCUUGACCAGGAGUAGAAGGAGCGAAUGAUGAGGUCCAGGCACACUAACACUGAUGUAUGACAAUCAGCAUGACGGCCACAGCCUGUGGACAGCAAGAGAGACACCAGACAGUCAUGUGCAUGUCCACACAGUGCCGUGAAGGGAGCUGCAGGUGCUGAGGACCAAGUCAGGGAGCAGAAACUACUCUCUGUCUGGUCUGGUCGGCGGCAAGGGAUUCAAUACAAGGAACCACGUGAUAAGAGAAUCAUGGAAAGGCCUGGAAGGUCACAAGGCUCUAGCUGGACUCUUGGUUUCAAGGUCAGUCAGUCAGAAGCACUCCCAGAAGCACUGCCCCCACUCCCACGUGUCUGCUGGAGCUCGGCCACCUCAUCUGCUGUAGGAGGGGGGCCUCCCUCACUCUUGCCUCUUGAAUGUCAUACAACUACAUCCAACUGGGGAAACCCUAGCUGCAAAAGUUCCUGAGAAGUAGAGUUUGUUUUACUUUCCAACCUCUCCAAAUAGAAGGGACAUCAUUCCACAUAUCUAGAGUUGCCAGAUAAAAUAUGGGACGUCCAGGGGCGCCUGAGUGACUCAGUUAAGCGUCCG